rnacentral:rRNA from 1 species
UACAGAGGGUGCGAGCGUUGUCCGGAAUCACUGGGCGUAAAGGGCGCGUAGGCGGUCUGCUAAGCGUGUGGUGAAAGCUCGGGGCUCAACCCCGAGUCGGCCGUGCGAACUGGUGGACUGGAGCAUGUCAGAGGCAGGCGGAAUUCCGGGUGUAGCGGUGGAAUGCGUAGAGAGUCCGGAAGAACACCGGUGGCGAAGGCGGCAUCCUGGACCGGCAUUGACGCUGAGGCGCGAAAGCUAGGGGAGCAAACGGG